rnacentral:rRNA from 1 species
CGCAGCCUGAUGCAGCGACGCCGCGUGAGGGAUGGAGGCCUUCGGGUUGUAAACCUCUUUUAUCGGGGAGCAAGCGAGAGUGAGUUUACCCGUUGAAUAAGCACCGGCUAACUACGUGCCAGCAGCCGCGGUAAUACGUAGGGUGCAAGCGUUAUCCGGAAUUAUUGGGCGUAAAGGGCUCGUAGGCGGUUCGUCGCGUCCGGUGUGAAAGUCCAUCGCUUAACGGUGGAUCCGCGCCGGGUACGGGCGGGCUUGAGUGCGGUAGGGGAGACUGGAAUUCCCGGUGUAACGGUGGAAUGUGUAGAUAUCGGGAAGAACACCAAUGGCGAAGGCAGGUCUCUGGGCCGUUACUGACGCUGAGGAGCGAAAGCGUGGGGAGCGAACAGGAUUAGAUACC